UUCUGCACUCACAAACACCAUUACUACAU
rnacentral:sRNA from 1 species